GUUAGAAUAGCUUAAUUGGCAAAGCGAUAUACUGUUAAUAUAUUUUAUUUGGGUUCAAGUCCCAAUUUUAACU
rnacentral:tRNA from 1 species